UACGUAGGGUCCGAGCGUUGUCCGGAAUUAUUGGGCGUAAAGGGCUCGUAGGCGGUUUGUCGCGUCGGGAGUGAAAACACCGGGCUUAACUCGGUGCUUGCUUUCGAUACGGGCAGACUAGAGGCAUUCAGGGGAGAACGGAAUUCCUGGUGUAGCGGUGAAAUGCGCAGAUAUCAGGAGGAACACCGGUGGCGAAGGCGGUUCUCUGGGAAUGUCCUGACGCUGAGGAGCGAAAGUGUGGGUAGCAAACGGG
rnacentral:rRNA from 1 species